rnacentral:misc_RNA from 1 species
GAUGAAGAACGUAGUGAAAUGCGAUAAGUAGUGUGAAUUGCAGAAUUCAGUGAAUCAUCGAAUCUUUGAACGCACAUUGCGCCCGCCAGUAUUCUGGCGGGCAUGCCUGUUCGAGCGUCAUUUCAACCAUCAAGCCCUGCUUGCGUUGGGGUCCUGCGGCUGCCCGCAGGCCCUGAAAACCAGUGGCGGGCUCGCUAGUCACACCGAGCGCAGUAAUACAUCUCGCUUUGGGCGUGCGGCGGGUUCUUGCCGUUAAACACCCCCUUUUUACCAAGGUUGACCUCGGAUCAGGUAGGAAUACCCGCUGAACUUAAGCAUAUCAAUAAGCGGAGGA